UGUUUGGUUGGUACAAUGGUUCGGCGAAAUUUCAGAAGAAGUUGUUAAUUUUUAUGAAUCAGUUGCAAAAACCGAUCAUUUUUCACGUUGGGAAUGUUAUUCCAGUCACCUGUGAGACGUUUAAGUCGAUAAUGCAAAAGUCGUGGAGCUUUUUUAUUGCUUUGAAAAAUACACAAAAUCGUUGAAAUUGGCAAUGUUGUUGUAACGUACUAGUUGUUGUUACUAGUUUUUUCUCACAUUUUGAAUUUUUCAGCAAAAUACACAACUGGAAUCAA